UCUUUGUCUCCCGGACAGCUGAAGAGGUUAAGCUCCUACAUAGGAGGCCAGUGUAUUGUGACAUCAGAGCCUUCUUUGUCUACCAGCCAGGUCUCUGCUCAGAUGGCAUCGUGGACACUCUUUAUGAGAACCUACCUUGCAGUGCUGUAGCUGCCGUCUGCUUGUGCUUUGGCUCCUAAGCGCAUGGUUAAGGAAAUACUCAGCUUUCAGGGUUUUUGUUUGUUUUAUCACGAGUGAAAUUCCUGGCACAGAGCAGGGAUCCAAUGUCAUUGCUGUUACUGUUGAUGAAGAUGAAAUGGUGAUCAAGACUAAAGAAGGUGAAGAAGACUAACGGUGAUGAAGAUAAAGAUGACACUGGGAAUGUAUGAUCCUAACCAGAGCUGGCGGAAGAAGCCACACUGAGCUCUUAGUCAUCUCAGCAUGUGCCUUGGAAGUUUUGUUUAUUGGCACACUUCACUUGGUGGCAGCUUCACUUGGGCCAAGUCAGUGCUGUUUCCUGGGUUCGUGGAUUGAAACUUAUUUCUUCAGAGAGCAAGCCAUCAACAAUGAGCAGGCUGGUGACCAAAGGAGGCCUUCUUUACUGUGGGGUGUCUUCUGAUGCAGCAGUGAGGGAGGGCAGGUAAUUCUCUUCCUUCUCUCCCAGCCACAGCCCUCCCCCAGAACACCAUACACCAAGGGGCAGCAUGAGGCCUGGGUAAGAGCCUGGGGUCCAGCAUCACACCUUCUGGGGGUACCAUUUUCAGCUAUGUGACCAUAAGCAAGCUCCAAGUCUUGGUCUUCUCAUUUAUAAAAAGGGUAAAAACAAUAGCCUCUGUUACACUGGAGUUUUUGUUUUAAUUCUUUUGAAGAAUAACAUGCAUAAGCAUAUACACUAUAAGCAUACUAUUGUAAGCAUGGGCCCUCUAGGACCAGUUUAACUGACCCCAUCUUAUCAACUGAGUAGUUAAGAGUGGUUUUUCGUGAACUGAGAAAUGAGCCCUUGUCCAAUUCAGGUCGGUUGAGAUCACCAACCCAUCAACCGGCCCUGUGCAAAUGCCCAAUAAGUGACCCUUUUGAUGUCAAGGGGCUGAAACUUCCACCCUCAGAUCGUACCAACACCACCAUUUGUGAACAUGCGUCCUAUGAGGAGCCAUGAAGCUUGACGAUGCUUGUGCAGAUCAUUGAUUACCUCACUUCUCCUCUCCAGUCAUCUGUCUCCACACUUCAGACCGCCCUGCCCUUCAUCCUAUACAUUUUACCCCAAGCCCUGGAUCGGGGAGACAGAUCCGAGAGCUUAUACCUCCUGUCUCCUUGCAGAUCGAUCUCGCAAUAAAUCUGUAUUCUUUUCUCA
rnacentral:lncRNA from 1 species